rnacentral:rRNA from 1 species
AACGCUAGCGGCAGGCCUAAUACAUGCAAGUCGAGGGGUAACAGGAAGUGCUUGCACUUCGCUGACGACCGGCGCACGGGUGAGUAUCGCGUAUACAAUCUGCCUCAUACUAGGGAAUAGCCCGAAGAAAUUUGGAUUAAUGCCCUAUAGUAUCUUUUUAAGGCAUCUUAUUAAGAUUAAAGGUUACGGUAUGAGAUGAGUAUGCGUUCUAUUAGCUAGUAGGUGUGGUAACGGCACACCUAGGCUACGAUAGAUAGGGGCCCUGAGAGGGGGAUCCCCCACACUGGUACUGAGACACGGACCAGACUCCUACGGGAGGCAGCAGUAAGGAAUAUUGGUCAAUGGACGAAAGUCUGAACCAGCCAUGCCGCGUGCAGGAUGACUGCCCUAUGGGUUGUAAACUGCUUUUAUAUAGGAAGAAAAACUUUCUCGUGAGAAAGCUUGACGGUACUAUAAGAAUAAGGAUCG